AUGGGGUUCCCUGGUCUGCUGAGAGCUGUCAUAGCCUGCGUCCGCCUUGGUAAGGCUGCAAAAGACCAGCCAGAAAUCUCAAUGCUGGAGAAAGAAGAUGUAACUUUGGAUUGUGUCUAUGAAGCUAGUAGUUAUAGAUAUUAUUUAUUCUGGUACAAACAAACACCAAGUGGGGAAAUGAUUUUCCUUAUUCAUCAGGAGUCUUACAAUGAGUGAAUACAACAGAGGGUCGGUAGUUUUUGGGCUUCCAGAAAACGGCCAGUUCCAUCAGCCUCACCAUCACAGCCUUGCAGCUUGGGGACUCAGCGGUGUAUUUCUGUGCUCUGAGAGACCACAGUGAUGCAAGUCCCUGUGGGAACCCCACAGAAACCUCAGAUCUCAACGUGAGGUGUCCCCCAGCUAUGAAAACCUUAGUGAGAUUCUCGGUAAGGACAGGAGAAGGCAGCGGCCGUGUCAGCGGGACAGGGCAGUUAGAAGUGGAAACCUCACUCUAA